rnacentral:rRNA from 1 species
GAUGAACGCUGGCGGCCGUUGCUUAACACAUGCAAGUCGAACGGAGUUUAAGAAGGAAGCUUGCUUUCAUUUUAAACUUAGUGGCGGACGGGUGAGUAACGCGUGAGGAACCUGCCCUUCAGUGGGGAACAACAACUAGAAAUGGUUGCUAAUACCGCAUGAUGUAACGAGACCGCAUGAUCUUGUUACCAAAGGAGCAAUCCGCUCGAAGAUGGGCUCGCGUCUGAUUAGCUAGUUGGUGAGGUAACGGCUCACCAAGUCGACGAUCAGUAGCCGGACUGAGAGGUUGAACGGCCACAUUGGAACUGAGAUACGGUCCAGACUCCUACGGGAGGCAGCAGUGGGGAAUAUUGCACAAUGGGGGAAACCCUGAUGCAGCAACGCCGCGUGAAGGAUGAAGGUUUUCGGAUCGUAAACUUCUAUCAACAGGGAAGAAACAAAUGACGGUACCUGAAUAAGAAGCCCCGGCUAACUACGUG